rnacentral:sRNA from 1 species
AGACAGUGCCUUUCAGGCAUCCUCUCCCAAAACUUUUAUAGCCCGGUCGGAAACGAUCGGGCUUUUUUCUUGCCUUGA